rnacentral:tRNA from 1 species
GGGCGGGUGGUGAAACGGCAGACACGCAGCCUUUAGGAGGCUGUGCCGCAAGGCGUGGAGGUUCGAUUCCUCUCCCGCCCA